AUCAUUAUGCUUCAUCUCUUUCAACACCUGUCAUCUGCUUCCACUGUUGCAGCAAGAUUAAGAACCCAACCCCAGCUCAAGUAAGAAAUCUCCCUUUCCCUCUCAUUUUGCAAUGGUAAGUCUGCUUGAAAAACUGAACUUUUUUGUUUUUUCUGCUUCGUCGUUUACUUCUAGCUCUAACACUUCUUUUCUUCUUUUGCAGUUUUAGGUUUGUUCUUAUUAAUUCUAUUUUCUGUUUCUUUGUUCAUAAUUUCA
rnacentral:lncRNA from 1 species